AANAAAACACUAUACAUAGCAUAGGUAGCCAAAUAAUCAAGAAAGAUAUACACAUUUAAAGAGUUUAAACUCGUUCCAAAUUAUUUAAACCGGAAUUAAUAGAUUGAUAGAUGGAUAUAUACAUAAAAUAAACAAAAUUCUUCAUCACCUGAUAUUGUAGAGAGAGAAGCCUUGGUGCCUAUUUUCUCUCACUAAACUCCUAAACCGAGAGCAGUUUCGACGUCUAACUUCCAUGCAAAACCAGCAGCAAAUUCCAUCCUCCACACAUCGCACGCUACUAUUUUAUUCCAUUUUUGCCCCUGCUUCGUCUGCUGUACCAUCCUCACUCUGCAUGCAAACGAGGGGGUAAAAUAGGGCAAUUUCUCUCUCACCAUCAACCUCACCACCAACGCCCCGUUCUCCGCCGCCGCCAUCCUUCUGCAGGCGUCGUUCACCCAAACCACGUUGUUCGCGCCGUCCGAUACGAAUCCCGGACACGUGUCGGCCUGCAGAUUCAUCAGGAUCUCCUCGUCCGAGUAUCCUAACCCUACUCCGCCAUCUACGCACGUAUCCGUCACGCGUUCCACCACUAUCCACGUCCCCGCCGUUGUUACGCCGGCGACGUUGCUUUUGAAGCUAACUUCAUCGCCGAUUCGAUAUUGUUCCGGAUCUACCGUAUCUCGAAAUUUCGCGGCGGUGCUCUUCUCGCUCUCGGAUCUCUCCGGCAGCAGCUGAAGAGUCACCGCCGAUCUCACAGGCGGCGAACCGUCGUCGACUCCUGAUCUCCCCGGCGGCGAAGAUCGCCUUUCCGGAUCCGGAAGUUUCAUCUUCGUAGGUUGGCGGCCGCGAACCCUAACGUACUUCCGCUUAGUCCUCCGCUCGUAUUUGGUUCUCCCGUCGUGCUCGUCCGGAUCUCCGCCGGCAGGCUUGGGCGCAAUAGGCCGGAAUCUGAGCAUGAGUCGGUUCAUGACCGAAUAAUGAUUCUCCAUGGAUUUAAGUGGGAGAUGAGGUCUCAGAUCUCCAUGGAAUUGAUUGAUGAUCUGAAAAAGCAAAAGAUUUAAACGACAAAUGAAAGUAAUUAGGUUGGUGACACAUGUGCGUGGUUUGAAAAGAGAAAAGGAGAGAGAGAGGUGGCAGUUAGGCGAUGGAGGAAUGGCUUAGCUCGAUAUACCAUACAUGAGGGGACACGUGCACCUGCUAAAGCUACUAGAGAGCAGCAGCAGCCCAUCGACUCUCGGGAACCUUCCACACCCCCGACACGUAUGUGCUUAAGCUUUGCAUUUACACUCUUAUUCUAUGCUACCUUAUUCUUAUAAAAUAAUACUUAUCAUGGAUUUCUACUUCAAAUUUAUAAUUAUUAUAAAUACUUUACACUUAUAUCUUAAUUCAGGUUUAGUUUGUGACUCCAAUUCAUAUUUGAGAUCGCUUAAGAAUGAUUAUCCAAUUUGAAUCCGACUGAAUUAUGAUUAUUUGAGUUUUGUACAUCUAUAAUUCUGAUACAGUAUCUAAUCGAAAAAUUUUAAGCAUUUAUGGAAGAUUUGAAACUUGUGCAUGUGUGCUUUAAAGUUCUUCAUUAUCUACUUCAUACAACUACUUGGUUACUAAUUGUUAUUCAUUCACAAGAACACAAUGCAUAUUAUCUUCAAUGUUCCCAUUAUUUGAUAUAGCUAACGUGUCAUUACCCUAAACUGAUAAAAUCAUGUACAUGUGCCAAAACCGCGACAAUGUGGUAGAUUUUUGCUAGCAAAAUUUGUUUGAAUCAAGACAAAUACACGCCUCUGUGUAUAUGCAUGUACACGUGGAGGGUUUUGGGAGGUAGAAAUUUAUAGUAUUGACUAUUGAGGCGUGAAGUUUGAUUGAUUGGGCAAUAUUAAUGCCACCAUUAUUCACCUAAUUAAUCAUCCACAAUUACUUCAAAUUUAAUUGAUUGCGCCAAUCACGAUUCAAGUAUAACAUCACACUCAUCGACACGUGUUGUUACUAGCUAGUUCGAGUUUGGCGACGCAGGAUUUGCUGAGGACUAUGAUACACUCACGCACACAUAAUAAAUAUAUAUGUGAAAAUGACCACAACAAUAUAUAAUUAUAUUGACAUAAACACCCAUAUAUUUGAGAGUGUUAAGUCUUUGGUUGCUUCUCAUUUGCUAAUCUUAAAACCAAUGCAAAGGCAGAACGUUUGCUCCUUUCUUUUAUAGAAGCAUGUUUUCGAAUCGAAACCUCAAAUCCAAAUUAAAUCCUAUAUUUAGAUUCUUUUCACUGAACAAUUCAUGUUUGAAUAAUUUGAUUUUUGACCUACAUGUAUUUGAUUGAACAGAAUAUUUGGCUGACAAAACAAUAUCAUGCACUUUAUUGAGUCUAAUAUAGCGAUUAGCAGAUGUAGACAAAAUAUAUACCGUAUAUAGUUUGAUGAGGGCUUAAGCCUCUCUCACGACAUAUAUGUGUCAUCCAAUGAUUAUAACCACACGAUAUCAAAAUAAUCGCUCUAAGAAUAACUAAAUUAGAUAAUAUAAUUGUCACACAACAACUAUUUAUUAUGAACCGACAAGAAAUUAGCUAUAUGUAAGUGAUGAAUGUGUUGUGAAUAAGAAUCGGAUCAUAUUAUAUAUGAUCAGAAAAAUAGAGUAUAUAUUAGACUAAUUGUUUGUUAGACAAAGAAUAUAACAACUUAUGAAAAAUCGUAAAACAAUAGUGAAAUUGUACCAAUCCAACAAUCAAUUGUCUCGGCCACACACAAAUAACGUAAGCAGCGAUACUCAACGAAAAUCAAGCGGAAAGUAAAGAACACAAGACAACAACAAUGAUUACCCAGUUCGGUGAUAACACACCUACGUCUGGGGGNCCACGCCCAGUUCCAACAGUUCACUAGUGAAGAUAAGAAAUACAAAGGACUUACACGCGAAGACUCGAUCUUCCUAGCCUCUAUUUCUUCCCAAACCUUCACCUACGUGAACAAAAAGAGAGCAAGAUAGAACUUACCCACAGAACGUGAUUGCCUCUCAAUCCACGUUCAAACCAACAUCAAGAAACACUCCAACAGGCUGGAGUUCAGAUCACUAAACCAAAGAAGCCUUACGCUUACAUAGAAAUAAAGAGUAAAACAACAGCACACACUCACAGAUUGUAUGCUCACUCAAAGGCACGAAAAUACUCUCUCAAAGAAGUAGAAUAUCAGAUCAAAACCGCAGCAAAAACGUAUCCUCUUCAACACCAAUAUAUGGCCAAACCCUAGAAGAAGUUUGGGCUCUUGGAAGUUUGGGUUCUAGGCGAUUUGGGCUCUUGGCCGUUCCUCGAAGGGAUUACUUGAGGCAGCACUAAAUAGGGUUUAUAAAAGCCCUAGGAAUAAAGACUCCUUAGCAAACUUGAAGGCCCAAGCCUAUCUCAAACUAAAAACCCGUAGAGAGAGAAAAACUGCCAGACAAGAGACUGAAGAAGCAACCCAACAAGAGACAUUCUGAGAAACAACAGAAGAUACUUCCUUUGUUCUACAUAAUGACAACAAACCUUAGAGUAUAUAAAUACUCUAACAAUCUCCCCCUUUGUCAUUGGUGUAGACAAAACCAAUUUCUGCACAACUCAUGAAUGCACAGCAUAAAUAAGCAGCAUAAGCUCUCCCUCAAAGAAAAGAAAAAAAAAGUGUGAAGUCGAGUGUAUAUUGAGAAAUUUGUUAGAAAAUCGACUUUGUUUGUUGGAAAUAAAUGGAGAGCAUAAAAGAGUGUUUAAUUCUGUUUUGUGAUGAUUAAAUCCCUUGGUUGGAGUUGAUUAUGGUGACAUAGUUUGGUGGAAGAUGAAAUUUAUUCCAUACUUGCUUUGUGAAGUUAUAAGGUUGGUGUUCUUAAUUAUUUUGAGUCACUUAGCCUAUAUUUUCCUACCUUAACCAAUGUCCCUACAUUAUAACCCGAAGAAAAAGACCUUUUUGAUCUUAGUCCUGGCACACUUUUAGCGAUGGAGAUUGUAGACGAUUGGCAAGCCUAUGGUAAGAGAUCUGCAUUGCAUUGAAUUCGAUGAGAGCAUACACGUCCUAUAUAUUCCAUCAAAUUGAGAGUUGAGUGAUACACAUACCUUGUGAGAUUCAAUUGUUUGGAAUGUCAAGGUUGAUUUUGCUAUAGGUUGUGUUUAUUGGUGAAUUUUGUGCUUGAUUAUUGAAGAUUUGAGAAUUCCAUUAUUCUUUAUUUUUCGGAGGCAUCGAUGAGCUAGAGUUCUUGCCCAUUCGUGUUAUUGAUUGUGUUCUUCUCAUUAUUCGAGGACGAACAAUGGCUUAAGUUUGGGGGAGUUGAUAACACUCAUGUUUCCAUGGUUUUUAAUGUUCUUAUGAUGUUAAUUUUAUAGGAAAUUGAGUGUUUGAUGAUUGUUUUGUGCUUAAAUUGCUUUAUAUUGUAAAAUAUGUUACUUGCUCGUACUUUGAUGAAUUUUACAGAAAUAUGAAGUUCGAAUUUGGACUGUUGAUCUUAAUGAAAGUUGUAUUUCGUCUCGAUACGAGUUCGUAGGCACAAACGGUUCGCAAAUCCGAGUUCGGACGAGAAAGAUAUGGCCGAAACAAGAAAGUCGCGCGCAGCAGUGAAUAGUGCCCGACGGGAAUUUCCGAAUUUUCGGGAUUUUGCGGGAUUUUCGGAUUUUAUCAGUAUUUUCGAGCUCUAUACUGUAUUUAUCCUCUGUGCCUAUAUAUAGGUCCUCUUUUGACCUAUUCAGGGUUCCUUUUUGAGUCCAAAACUUUAUUUUCUCAGUUUCAUAGCUUUAGAUUAUUAUUGCUUUCCAGUUUUUACAGCUUGGAUUGGAUUUCCACAAGAUUGAAGAUUCAAGCCGC
rnacentral:lncRNA from 1 species